AAUGAACGCUGGCGGCAGGCCUAACACAUGCAAGUCGAGCGGGGUUUUCGGACCUAGCGGCGGACGGGUGAGUAAUGCGUAGGAAGCUGCCCGAUAGAGGGGGAUACCAGUUGGAAACGACUGUUAAUACCGCAUAAUGUCUACGGACCAAAGUGUGGGACCUUCGGGCCGCAUGCUAUCGGAUGCGCCUACGUGGGAUUAGCUAGUUGGGGAGGUAAUGGCUCACCAAGGCGACGAUAUCUAGCUGGUUUGAGAGGAUGAUCAGCCACACUGGAACUGAGACACGGUCCAGACUCCUACGGGAGGCAGCAGUGGGGAAUAUUGGACAAUGGGCGCAAGCCUGAUCCAGCCAUGCCGCGUGUGUGAAGAAGGCCUUCGGGUUGUAAAGCACUUUCAGCGAGGAGGAAGGGUUAGUCGUUACUAGCGGCUAAUUUUGACGUUACUCGCAGAAGAAGCACCGGCUAACUCUGUGCCAGCCGCCGCCGUAA
rnacentral:rRNA from 1 species